rnacentral:ncRNA from 1 species
GGGGCGGAUGCCGAAAAGCCCAAAGAGUAGGCG